AGUGAACGCUGGCGGUAGGCCUAACACAUGCAAGUCGAACGGCAGCACAGUAAGAGCUUGCUCUUACGGGUGGCGAGUGGCGGACGGGUGAGGAAUACAUCGGAAUCUACUUUUUCGUGGGGGAUAACGUAGGGAAACUUACGCUAAUACCGCAUACGACCUACGGGUGAAAGCAGGGGAUAUUCGGACCUUGCGCGAUUGAAUGAGCCGAUGUCGGAUUAGCUAGUUGGCGGGGUAAAGGCCCACCAAGGCGACGAUCCGUAGCUGGUCUGAGAGGAUGAUCAGCCACACUGGAGCUGAGACACGGUCCAGACUCCUACGGGAGGCAGCAGUGGGGAAUAUUGGACAAUGGGCGCGAGCCUGAUCCAGCCAUACCGCGUGGGUGAAGAAGGCCUUCGGGUUGUAAAGCCCUUUUGUUGGGAAAGAAAAGCAGCAGGUUAAUACCCCGCUGUUCUGACGGUACCCAAAGAAUAAGCACCGGCUAACUUCGUG
rnacentral:rRNA from 1 species